rnacentral:rRNA from 1 species
UACGUAGGUGGCAAGCGUUGUCCGGAUUUAUUGGGUUUAAAGGGUGCGUAGGCGGCCCUGUAAGUCAGUGGUGAAAUACUGCAACUUAACUGUAGCAUUGCCAUUGAUACUGUAGGGCUUGAGUACAGAUGAGGUAGGCGGAAUUGAUGGUGUAGCGGUGAAAUGCAUAGAUACCAUCAAGAACACCGAUUGCGAAGGCAGCUUCUAAGCUGUAACUGACGCUGAGGCACGAAAGCGUGGGGAUCGAACAGG